rnacentral:rRNA from 1 species
GACGAACGCUGGCGGCGCGCCUAACACAUGCAAGUCGAACGGAGCUUAGAGAGCUUGCUUUUUAAGCUUAGUGGCGAACGGGUGAGUAACGCGUGAGUAACCUGCCCUAGAGUGGGGGGACAACAGUUGGAAACGACUGCUAAUACCGCAUAAGCCCACGGUAUCGCAUGAUACUGAGGGAAAAGGAUUUAUUCGCUUUAGGAUGGACUCGCGUCCAAUUAGCUAGUUGGUGAGGUAACGGCCCACCAAGGCGACGAUUGGUAGCCGGACUGAGAGGUUGAACGGCCACAUUGGGACUGAGACACGGCCCAGACUCCUACGGGAGGCAGCAGUGGGGGAUAUUGCACAAUGGGGGAAACCCUGAUGCAGCGACGCCGCGUGGAGGAAGAAGGUUUUCGGAUUGUAAACUCCUGUCGUUAGGGACGAUAAUGACGGUAC